CUGGCUCAGAACGAACGCUGGUAGCGUGGAUUAGGCAUGCAAGUCGAACGGGAUCCGCAAGGUAGCAAUACUGAGCGGUGAGAGUGGCGGAUUGGGGAGGAACACGUGAGCAACCUGUCCUUGAGUCGGGGAAAACCGCGGGAAACUGCGGCUAAUACCGGAUGUGGCGUCCGACGACAUCGUCGGAGCGCUAAAGGGGGCCCGCAAGGGCUCUCGCUCUUCGAGGGGCUCGCGCACCAUCAGCUUGUUGGCGGGGUAACGGCCCACCAAGGCGUACGGUUAGCUGGUCUGAGAGGAUGACCAGCCCCACUGGGACUGAGAUACUGCCCAGACUCCUACGGGAGGCUGCAGUCGAGGAUCAUUUGCAAUGGGCGAAAGCCUGACAAUGCGACGCUGCGUGGAGGAUGAAGGCCUUCGGGUUGUAAACUCCUGUCAUAUGGGAACAGGCGAGGGGACCCAACACGUCCCUUAGUUGAGUGUACCUUAAGAGGAAUGGGCGGCUAACUCUGUGCCAGCCGCAGC
rnacentral:rRNA from 1 species